rnacentral:rRNA from 1 species
CCUACGGGUGGCUGCAGUGGGGAAUAUUGGACAAUGGGCGAAAGCCUGAUCCAGCCAUGCCGCGUGUGUGAAGAAGGCCUUCGGGUUGUAAAGCACUUUCAGUGGGGAAGAAAGCCUUGGGGCUAAUACCCUCGAGGAAGGACAUCACCCACAGAAGAAGCACCGGCUAACUCCGUGCCAGCAGCCGCGGUAAUACGGAGGGUGCGAGCGUUAAUCGGAAUUACUGGGCGUAAAGCGCGCGUAGGCGGUCUGAUAAGCCGGUUGUGAAAGCCCCGGGCUCAACCUGGGAACGGCAUCCGGAACUGUCAGGCUAGAGUGCAGGAGAGGAAGGUAGAAUUCCCGGUGUAGCGGUGAAAUGCGUAGAGAUCGGGAGGAAUACCAGUGGCGAAGGCGGCCUUCUGGACUGACACUGACGCUGAGGUGCGAAAGCGUGGGUAGCAAACAGGAUUAGAACCCGGGUAGUC